GAUCGCACCCACGAUGCUUCGGUAGCUGUGCAGCGGCGGACGGGUGAGUAAUGCUUAGGAAUCUGCCUAUUAGUGGGGGACAACAUUCCGAAAGGGAUGCUAAUACCGCAUACGUCCUACGGGAGAAAGCAGGGGCUCUUUAUGACCUUGCGCUAAUAGAUGAGCCUAAGUCGGAUUAGCUAGUUGGUGGGGUAAAGGCCUACCAAGGCGACAAUCUGUAGCGGGUCUGAGAGGAUGAUCCGCCACACUGGGACUGAGACACGGCCCAAACUCCUACGGGAGGCAGCAGUGGGGAAUAUUGGACAAUGGGGGGAACCCUGAUCCAGCCUUGCCGCGUGUGUGAAGAAGGCCUUUUGGUUGUAAAGCACUUUAAGUGGGGAGGAGGCUUACCUGGUUAAUACCUGGGCUAAGUGGACGUUACCCACAGAAUAAGCACCGGCUAACUCUGUGCCAGCAGCCGCGGUAAUACAGAGGGUGCGAGCGUUAAUCGGAUUUACUGGGCGUAAAGCGCGCGUAGGUGGUUAAUUAAGUCAAAUGUGAAAUCCCCGAGCUUAACUUGGGAAUUGCAUUCGAUACUGGUUAGCUAGAGUAUGGGAAGAGGAUGGUAGAAUUCCAGGUGUAGCGGUGAAAUGCGUAAAGUCUGGAGGAAUCCCAAUGGGGAGGGCAGCCAUCUGGCCUAAUAUGACCUGAGGGGCGAAAGCAUGGGAAGCAAAAGGAUAAAACCCUGGUGUCCUGCCGUAACAAUGCUCUAGCCGUUGGGGGAUUUGACCUUAGGGGCCACCUAACGAAAAAUAACGCCUGGGGGGAGGGCCCAAAAUAAAACUAAUAGAUUGCCGGGGCCCCCCAACGGGGGAGAGUGGGUUUUAUCAGG
rnacentral:rRNA from 1 species